GAUAUUGUCCUAUUUGGGCAUUUCUUUCUGGGCUUCCACUCAAGGCUUUAAAACGUGUCUGCUAGGAGAGGUUUCCACACCCUUACAAGGAAUGUUUCGUUCUCCUCUUCAACCGAUGUGGGAUCUCUCACACUUGCAAGAAUAACUUAUAGCUAUAUCACUUUCAUUAUAUAGAUAACAGCAAAAAAAACAACUAAAAAUUCUGUUUCCUAUCAGAAAAGAAAUUUAAAAACUA